rnacentral:misc_RNA from 1 species
GGCGGUUGGAAUUGUGGGGUCCCAUGGAAGAAUGUGCUUUGGAGGGAGAUGAUUUUGCCACGUCACAUACGUGGAGAUGCCAUGGAUGGCCUCGAUUGUGGGACCGGGAACUGUUGCAGAUUCCUUGGAAAUUCCGUAAGCAAAAACAGGAGUUGGGGGAAGAUCUCGGUGAAAUUUCCAUGUUUUGAAGAACAUGCCAAUCUGGAGAUGGUUAGGACGAUGGGCAUGGAAGGCAAGGAGUUUGGGCAUGUCGGGGAGGUCAUCGACGAACAUGGGCAGU